rnacentral:rRNA from 1 species
CCUACGGGUGGCAGCAGUGAGGAAUAUUGGUCAAUGGCCGGAAGGCUGAACCAGCCAUGCCGCGUGAAGGUCAGUGCCCUAUGGGCGUUAAACUUCUUUUGUGCGGGAGCAAUAAUGGUCACGUGUGGCCAGACGAGAGUACCGUACGAAUAAGCAUCCGCUAACUCCGUGCCAGCAGCCGCGGUAAUACGGGGGAUGCAAGCGUUAUACGGAUUUAUUGGGUUUAAAGGGUGCGUAGGCUGUGAGGUAAGUCAGCGGUGAAAUGCCCCCGCUCAACGGGGUGAAGUGCCAUUGAUACUGGCUGGCUGGAAUGCGGAUGCGGUGGGAGGAAUGUGUGGUGUAGCGGUGAAAUGCAUAGAUAUCACACAGAACACCGAUUGCGAAGGCAUCUCACGAAUCCGCGAUUGACGCUGAUGCACGAAAGCGUGGGUAUCAAACAGGAUUAGAUACCCGGGUAGUC